rnacentral:rRNA from 1 species
GGGUUGUGAGGUUAAGCGACUAAGCGUACACGGUGGAUGCCCUGGCAGUCAGAGGCGAUGAAGGACGUGCUAAUCUGCGAUAAGCGCCGGUAAGGUGAUAUGAACCGUUAUAACCGGCGAUUUCCGAAUGGGGAAACCCAGUGUGACUCGUCACACUAUCAUUAACUGAAUCCAUAGGUUAAUGAGGCGAACCGGGGGAACUGAAACAUCUAAGUACCCCGAGGAAAAGAAAUCAACCGAGAUUCCCCCAGUAGCGGCGAGCGAACGGGGAGGAGCCCAGAGCCUGAAUCAGCAUGUGUGUUAGUGGAAGCGUCUGGAAAGGCGCGCGAUACAGGGUGACAGCCCCGUACACAAAAGCGCACAUGCUGUGAGCUCGAUGAGUAGGGCGGGACACGUGGUAUCCUGUCUGAAUAUGGGGGGACCAUCCUCCAAGGCUAAAUACUCCUGACUGACCGAUAGUGAACCAGUACCGUGAGGGAAAGGCGAAAAGAACCCCGGCGAGGGGAGUGAAAAAGAACCUGAAACCGUGUACGUACAAGCAGUGGGAGCCCCACCACUAAGCCAGUGGUGAACUCCACAUACGCAUCCUUUGCUGAGGAUACGGUUAACGGAGCGAAAGCGACGUUCAACCUCAAAAGAAGCAGAGGGGGCUUAGUGGUGGGGUGACUGCGUACCUUUUGUAUAAUGGGUCAGCGACUUAUAUUCUGUAGCAAGGUUAACCGAAUAGGGGAGCCGUAGGGAAACCGAGUCUUAAUUGGGCGUUAAGUUGCAGGGUAUAGACCCGAAACCCGGUGAUCUAGCCAUGGGCAGGUUGAAGGUUGGGUAACACUAACUGGAGGACCGAACCGACUAAUGUUGAAAAAUUAGCGGAUGACCUGUGGCU